rnacentral:rRNA from 1 species
UACAGAGGUGGCUAGCGUUGUUCGGAUUUAUUGGGCGUAAAGGGUCCGUAGGCGGUCCGGAAAGUUGGGUGUGAAAUCCUACAGCUUAACUGUAGAACUGCACUCAAAACUCCCGGACUAGAGUGUGGGAGAGGUAAGGGGAAUUCCCGGUGUAAGGGUGAAAUCUGCAGAGAUCGGGAGGAACACCAGCGGCGAAGGCGCCUUACUGGCCCACCACUGACGCUGAGGGACGAAAGCUAGGGGAGCAAACGGG